rnacentral:rRNA from 1 species
CUACGGGAGGCAGCAGUGAGGAAUUUUGCGCAAUGGGGGAAACCCUGACGCAGCAACGCCGCGUGAGCGAAGAAGGCCUUCGGGUCGUAAAGCUCUGUCAAGUGGGAAAAAAAUUCUUUGAUGAACAGUCAAAGGACUUGAUGGUACCACUGGAGGAAGCACCGGCGAACUCCGUGCCAGCAGCCGCGGUAAUACGGAGGUUGCAAGCGUUGUUCGGAAUUACUGGGCGUAAAGAGCGUGUAGGCGGUUUGACAAGUCAGAUGUGAAAGCCCCGGGCUCAACCCGGGAAGUGCAUUUGAAACUGUUUCACUAGAGUAUGGGAGAGGAGAUUGGAAUUCCUGGUGUAGAGGUGAAGUUCGUAGAUAUCAGGAGGAACACCCGUGGCGAAGGCGAUUCUCUGGACCAAUACUGACGCUGAGACGCGAAAGCGUGGGGAGCAAACAGGAUUAGAUACCCCGGUAGUC